AUGGGGUGUCAGCAGGGGUCACUGCCAUGGGGCGUCACCAGGGGGCUUCACCAGGGGGUGUCACCGUGGGGUAUCACCAAGGAUGUCACCAUGGGAUGCCACCAUGGGGUGUCAGCAGGGGGUGUCUCUGUUGGGCGUCACCAGGGGGGGUCACCAUGGGGUGUCACUAUAAGGUGGCACCAGGAAGUGUCUCCAUGGGGUGUCACCAGGGGUCAUCGCCAUGGGGCGUCACCAGGGGGUGUCACCAGGGGGUGUCACCGUGGGGUGUCACCAUAGGGUGUCUCUGUUGGGCAUCACCAUGGGGUGUCACCAUGUGGUGUCACCAUGUGGUGUCACCAUGGGGUGGCACCAGGAAGUGUCUCCAUGGGGUGUCACCACGGGGCCAAUCACCGCAGCACUCGGGGAUGGGCGCAGCUCACCUUC